GGGGUUGUGGCUCAGUGGUAGAGUGCUCGCCUAGAACACGUGAGGCACUGGGUUCGAUCCUCAGCGCCA
rnacentral:tRNA from 1 species